UGAGCUCCAGCACUGAAGUUCAGAGAUCCUGACUUCCGUUACGACAGUUUGGCAGGUGACUCGUGCGCUCAAUUAAACCAGGUUAUCGAAUCAAAACGUUCUGAGGAAGGGUCGCCUUAAAAAAGCAGCAUUUGACGACUGAAAUGGAAACCUGCAAACAACAUGUAACCCAACCAGGAGAGCGGAGCAUCGACCUGUUUGUUAAAGACAAGUGUCUAAUGAUGGCAGCGAGGGGCUCCCAAACAACGCCUCUUGUGAUGGCAGCCCUACAACCAGGGCAAGGCCACAGGAUACAAGAAAGACCUGUACCUGUGUUUUAAUGAUCUACACAGUGCUAGAUCAUAGUUCCCUUGCCAGUACAGUUAUAUUGCACGUUUGUUAAAUAAUUUCAUACCAAACAUUAUAUAAUGUAUGAAGUUCCAGUCUCACAGUCACUGUGCCAUCCAUGUAGUAAAUACUAAUGCAUGGUAACUGGUGUACAGUGUAAUACCUUGCAGUCUUGUAGUCUAUUUCAAUAAAAGACUAAAUUAGA